AUUGAACGCUGGCGGCAUGCCUUACACAUGCAAGUCGAACAGUAACAGGUUAAGCUGACGAGUGGCUAACGGGUGAGUAAUGUAUCGGAACGUGCCCAGUCGUGGGGGAUAACUACUCGAAAGAGUGGCUAAUACCGCAUACGACCUGAGGGUGAAAGCGGGGGACCGUAAGGCCUCGCGCGAUUGGAGCGGCCGAUAUCAGAUUAGCUAGUUGGUGGGGUAAAAGCCCACCAAGGCGACGAUCUGUAGCUGGUCUGAGAGGACGACCAGCCACACUGGGACUGAGACACGGCCCAGACUCCUACGGGAGGCAGCAGUGGGGAAUUUUGGACAAUGGACGCAAGUCUGAUCCAGCCAUGCCGCGUGCGGGAAGAAGGCCUUCGGGUUGUAAACCGCUUUUGUCAGGGAAGAAACGAGUUUCUCUAAUACAGAGACUUAAUGACGGUACCUGAAGAAUAAGCACCGGCUAACUACGUGCCAGCCGCCGCCGUAAAAC
rnacentral:rRNA from 1 species